CCUACGGGGGGCAGCAGUGGGGAAUAUUGGACAAUGGGCGAAAGCCUGAUCCAGCCAUGCCGCGUGUGUGAAGAAGGCCUUCGGGUUGUAAAGCACUUUCAGUGGGGAAGAAAGCCUUGGGGCUAAUACCCUCGAGGAAGGACAUCACCCACAGAAGAAGCACCGGCUAACUCCGUGCCAGCAGCCGCGGUAAUACGGAGGGUGCGAGCGUUAAUCGGAAUUACUGGGCGUAAAGCGCGUGUAGGCGGUCUGAUAAGCCGGUUGUGAAAGCCCCGGGCUCAACCUGGGAACGGCAUCCGGAACUGUCAGGCUAGAGUGCAGGAGAGGAAGGUAGAAUUCCCGGUGUAGCGGUGAAAUGCGUAGAGAUCGGGAGGAAUACCAGUGGCGAAGGCGGCCUUCUGGACUGACACUGACGCUGAGGUGCGAAAGCGUGGGUAGCAAACAGGAUUAGAUACCCUUGUAGUC
rnacentral:rRNA from 1 species